rnacentral:rRNA from 1 species
CCUUCGGGGACAUUGGUGACAGGUGGUGCAUGGUUGUCGUCAGCUCGUGUCGUGAGAUGUUGGGUUAAGUCCCGCAACGAGCGCAACCCUUGUCUUUAGUUGCCAUCAUUAAGUUGGGCACUCUAGAGAGACUGCCAGGGAUAACCUGGAGGAAGGUGGGGAUGACGUCAAAUCAUCAUGCCCCUUAUGCUUAGGGCUACACACGUGCUACAAUGGGUAGUACAGAGGGUUGCCAAACCGUAAGGUGGAGCUAAUCCCUUAAAGCUACUCUCAGUUCGGAUUGUAGGCUGAAACUCGCCUACAUGAAGCUGGAGUUACUAGUAAUCGCAGAUCAGAAUGCUGCGGUGAAUGCGUUCCCGGGUCUUGUACACACCGCCCGUCACACCACGGGAGUUGGAGACGCCCGAAGCCGAUUAUCUAACCUUUUGGAAGAAGUCGUCGAAGGUGGAAUCAAUAACUGGGGUGAAGUCGUAACAAGGUAGCCGUAUCGGAAGGUGCGGCUGGAUC